GCCCAUGUAGCUCAGCAGGCAGAGCACAUCCAUGGUAAGGAUGGGGUCGCCGGUUCGAUUCCGGCCGUGGGCUCCA
rnacentral:tRNA from 2 species